AUUGAACGCUGGCGGCAGGCCUAACACAUGCAAGUCGAGCGAGCGGCGGAAGGGUGAGUAAUGCCUAGGAAUCUGCCUGGUAGUGGGGGAUAACGUCCGGAAACGGGCGCUAAUACCGCAUACAAUCUGAUGUGCCCAGAUGGGAUUAGGUUGAUGGUGGGGUAACGGCUCACAAAGGCGACGAUCCCUAGCUGGUCUGAGAGGAUGACCAGCCACAGUGGGACUGAGACACGGUCCAGACUCCUACGGGAGGCAGCAGUGGGGAAUAUUGCACAAUGGGCGCAAGCCUGAUGGAGCCAUGCCGCGUGAAUGAAGAAGGCCUUCGGGUUGUAAAGUACUGUCGGCGGGGAAGCGUUACCCGAAGAAAAAGCCCCGGCUAACUCCGUGCCAGCAGCCGCGGUAAUUC
rnacentral:rRNA from 1 species